GGCGCUAUACUUUAAAUUAAAAGACCUGAUUUGCAUUCAGAAAAUGAAGAUAACUUCUAACGCCC
rnacentral:tRNA from 1 species